CACUGUUGGACUUUGAGUGAGUGUUAUCUUAUGUCAUCUUAGAUGGACAUGGACAUAGGAGAGGUGGAGGACAGGGCCGUGCAGGUUGAGGAGGAGGAGGGGGGUGUGGAGGAGGUGGCCCUGCAGGUGGAGGAGUUGGCCCUGCAGGUGGAGGAGGUGGCCCUGCAGGUGGAGGAGGUUGCCCUGCAGGUGGCGGAGGUGGCCCUGCAGGUGGAGGAGGUGGAGGAGGGGGGCCCGCAGGUGGAUGAGGUGGCCCACCCGGACACGGAAGGACCAGCGGUCUCUACUGUGCAGAGGAAGAGGAGGAGCAAAGAGCUUCACAGCCAGAAGAAGGGGCUUGCAACACGGAAUAAAACUUUACCGAAGAGUAAGAUGAAAUAGUUUUGUAACGAUCAGAGCACUGACAAACCCUUUACACAACUUAACAGCAUAUUGGAAUUGUAAAUUAUUCUCCUGCGUAUUCAUAGCAGUGAUUACAGCAUUAUUACAGUAGUAAUAAUUACUGUUAUUGAUUUUUAUGUUUGCGAUAUUUAAUAUUUGCCAGUGGAUAAGCAUAGAUGGUUUUGUUGUGAAAAACAUGUUUUUUAUAUUUUCAGAUUGCCCCUACCAUAUUGGUCGAGAUGCCUUUGAAAUAAGGAGUUACGUGAAGGAGAGGAUUAGAAAGGGCAUUAAAGAAGUCCUCGUCGAUUGGCAGCCUUGCCCAGUUUGGUUUCAGCAAGGUUUACAGGGCCCGGUUCACAUGUGGAAGCCAGCGUGUCCCACUGACACUACCCGGUACUUUGACACGCACACCCAACGCCUCUCCAAGUGCUCGUAGUUCCCUCAGACCUGCAGCUGAAGUGGUAUGUCUUCCAAACCAUGUUGAGGAGAUGGUAGACAUGAUCCACCAUGGAAAUCUUCCUUUGCACAGAUAGCA
ensembl:lncRNA